rnacentral:rRNA from 1 species
AACGCUGGCGGCGUGCUUCAUACAUGCAAGUCGAACGAGAAGUUACCUUCGGGUAAUGGAAAGUGGCGGACGGGUGAGUAAUAUGUAGAGAAUCUGCCCUAGAGAGAGGGACAACAGUUGGAAACGACUGCUAAUACCUCAUAUGCGCGUAGCUGAGAUGCUAUUCGUGAAAACUCCGGUGCUCUGGGAUGAGUCUGCAUCUGAUUAGCUAGUUGGCGGUGUAAUGGACCACCAAGGCGACGAUCAGUAGCUGGUUUGAGAGGAUGAUCAGCCACAAUGGGACUGAGACACGGCCCAUACUCCUACGGGAGGCAGCAGUAGGGAAUUUUGCGCAAUGGGGGAAACCCUGACGCAGCAACGCCGCGUGAUUGAUUAAGCCCUUCGGGGUGUAAAGAUCUGUCAGUAGGGACGAAACUUGACGGUACCUACAGAGGAAGCAUCGGCUAACUCCGUGCCAGCCGCUGC